rnacentral:tRNA from 1 species
GGAAAGAUGGCCGAGUGGUUUAUGGCACGGACCUAGAAAGUCCGCUUAGAUUGAGUUCUAACGAGGGUUCGAAUCCCUCUCUUUCC